CUUUUUCUUUCCAUCCUGUCCCUCCCUCCCUCAACUGAUGCCUAAUCUCACUUCCUAUUAAGAAAUCUUCAGCCAGGAACCGUUUCCAAAUAUGCCCCCAUUCAAUUUAGGUUUUAAUGAUUUCUUCAUCAUGAAAUCAAAGGUUUAUCGGUUAUGGCAAUGAAAUCGUCGCUGGUUAAUGAUCAAUUGAAACCUAUAACAAUUAAUGGAAACCACUGAUUGAAUGCUUGCAGCAAAUUGAAUAGGGAAAUUGAUUCCAGGCCUCCACUUCAUUAAUAGGGAACGACCUUUCUUUCUCUCAGUUGUAUAAUUGAAAGUUAAAAUUGUGAAUAUAAAGAUGGUUGUUACGGAAGGUGGUGAAGAAGGUGGAAGGAUUGCAGAUUUGGUGUCUUUCAAUCUGUUGCUGAGAUACCCUAAUUUUGCUACGGACGGCAGUUGGUUGUGGUGGUAUUAGGUGGUUUUUGUGAAAGGGACGAACUUGGUUGUGGUGGUGAAUGGAAACAGCGGUGUGGAUUGAACACCGACGGUGACGGAGAAAUAGGAUUCCCACGAGUAUUUUGGUGAUCGGAUUGUUGAAGGAUUAUGUUUCGGUCGAGAGCGUAGGUUGAGGCGAUUCCAUUGGUGAUCAACAACGGCGGCGGUUAGUAUUCCGGCAUUAGGGCGGUUAUUUAUGUUUUGCUAAAUUGCGAGAAAACAAUCCUG
rnacentral:lncRNA from 1 species